AUUGUUUCAACUUUCAACAAGGGGACCGAAAGAUUCCACCAACCCCUAACGCGCCCAAAACUGAGACUACUCUUCUCUAACGCCCUAAUGCCCCUAAAAACUAACGCCCUACAACUCUUGGUGAAACCCUAACACACUAACUCCUCUCAUCGCCGGCGCUCGCAAUGCCUCUGCCGGCGCUCCCUCCGUCCAUCCACCUUCCGUCUAUGCUCGCUCAUUCCGUCUCCCCUGUAUGCUGUAAACCCUGACCUUCCCUCGGCCGUCACUCUCUCUGGCAAGGCCUCCCUCUCUCGCAAACCCUCCAUUCACGCUCUCUCCGCCGCUUCUCCCUCCGUCGGUGCUCCUUCCCUCUUCCCUGUAGAAGUUGAGGAGUUACGGAAAGAAAUUACUGAUAUGCAAAAUCUGUUGGAAGAGCUAAAUAAUGCCCAUGGUGGUAAAGUUGGAGAAAUUGCCUCAAGGAGGAAAACUACCAAGUCUAGUAAAGAGAUUGUAGAUGGUCCAGUUGACAAUUGAGAGAAGAGAAAAAGUAAAAGAAGCUAUGCUUCAUGCUUGGGGAUCGUAUGAGAAGUAUGCAUGGGGCCAAGAUGAACUUCAGCCUCAGUCAAAGUGGUGUCAACAGUUUUGGAGGUCUUGGGCAACUUUAAUAGAUUCACUUGAUACACUAUAUAUCAUGGGUGUUGAUCAACAGUUUCAAAAAGCCCGAGAAUGAGUGUAGCUUUUUACGCUGUACAUUGAGCAUGUUAUUAUAGUUACCAUCGCAAUUCUUUUUUUCCUUUCUUCAAUCACAUCUCUAUAUUUGUUUGGAAUUAAUAGAGGCUAACUUGUAUAACAAGUUAUAUAUGGGGGAAAAAGUUAAUCUGCAUCUAGGGUAGAAAUUUAUUUUAUUUUAUUUUCUGUUUUCCUCUCUCCAAUUUUGUUGCUCUCCUAGAGGCACAUUCCAUGGUGAUGCUGUCUUAACUAGUAGUUAUAUGUAUUUUAACUCUCAGCUGUAGGCCCUGUCGAAAUAAAAAAAAACGUUCUUUUUAACUCUAUUCCUGAAA